rnacentral:rRNA from 1 species
CCUACGGGGGGCAGCAGUGAGGAAUCUUCCACAAUGGGGGCAACCCUGAUGGAGCAACGCCGCGUGCAGGAUGAAGGCCUUCGGGUCGUAAACUGCUUUUAUGAGCGAAGCGGUAACUCAUGAAUAAGGGUCGGCUAACUACGUGCCAGCAGCCGCGGUCAUACGUAGGACCCAAGCGUUAUCCGGAGUGACUGGGCGUAAAGAGUGCGUAGGCGGUCUGUAAAGCGAAUAGUGAAAUCUGAUGGCUCAACCAUCAACACAUUAUUCGAACUCACAGACUCGAGAAUGGUAGAGGUGGCUGGAAUUUCCUGUGUAGGAGUGAAAUCCGUAGAUAUAGGAAGGAACACCAAUGGCGUAGGCAGGCCACUGGCCUUUCUGACGCUGAGGCACGAAAGCGUGGGGAGCGAACCGGAUUAGAUACCCUUGUAGUC